GAGCUGCACGCAUCCAUUGGGCGACUUCAGCUUCCGCUCGGAGUGCGAGUUCGACUGUGAGGAGGGGUACCAGCUGACCUCCUCCAGCAGGGUGCAGUGUGGAGCGCAGGGGCAGUGGAGUGACAGGCAGCCUCAGUGUGAAGCUGUGCAGUGCCCCCCCAUCGCCCACCCAGAGGGAGUUACAGUGAGCUGCUCUGCCGGCGAGCUCAGUUAUGGCUGCUGGUGCAACUUCAGCUGCAGCCGUGACUUCAUCCUGCAUGGACCUGACAGCACCACGUGCGGACCCUCAGGGAACUGGACCGAUAAGGCGCCAUCUUGUCUAGAAGCCCAUAAACUAUCGUUGACCCCACAAUCAAUCGGAUUAACGGUCGGGGGAUCUAUAGGGUUGGCAGCAUUGCCAGUCGCAAUUUGGCUACUGAAACGUCUGAGGCAAGGUAAGAAGUUCGAGCUCAACAGCUCUACGGAUGAUGACGAUGACCAGCCGCCACAGAGAUAUAAGAAUAGCCUUGAUAGCCUCAUUUAGAAUUCUAAUCUGAGCAGGGAUGCUGAUAAGAGCGACUUCAUUCUCUGCAUCGUGGUCCGGAACCAGUGCAUCAUUUUACACGCAGAAAUCAUGGGAAGAGCCCAGUGGGAAGAAGACCCCUAACCGUCACCAUAUGUUGGAUUAAAAGUACAAUAUAAAGUCAAGUAUAAAUAGAAACAACAUGGGUGUUUUGUACUCCCCAUGGGAGAUGCAAUCUUAAACACAUUUUUGUGUCUACGUUUUAAAAAUGGUAUUAAUAUGGACUGUGUUAAUUAAAUGUUGAUGUGAAUGCUGCGAUGUAUGCUUUUCGCAUGGUAAUGCUAUUUUUUCUAAUGUAUGAGAAGUUCUGUAUGCAAACAUUUUAAAAUAAACGCUUUAAUGUUUAUUUAUGUUUUAUAUUUAGAUCUCUGUUAAAUACUGGUUGUGUUCUGGAGAUAAAAUGUCUAAAUAUUUAAAAAUAAAAUCCUGAAACACAA